AACGAACGCUGGCGGCAUGCCUAACACAUGCAAGUCGAACGAAGCCUUCGGGCUUAGUGGCGCACGGGUGCGUAACGCGUGGGAAUCUGCCUCUUGCUUCGGAAUAACAGUGGGAAACUACUGCUAAUACCGGAUGAUGUCUUCGGACCAAAGAUUUAUCGGCAAGGGAUGAGCCCGCGUAGGAUUAGGUAGUUGGUGGGGUAAAGGCCUACCAAGCCGACGAUCCUUAGCUGGUCUGAGAGGAUGAUCAGCCACACUGGGACUGAGACACGGCCCAGACUCCUACGGGAGGCAGCAGUGGGGAAUAUUGGACAAUGGGGGCAACCCUGAUCCAGCAAUGCCGCGUGAGUGAUGAAGGCCUUAGGGUUGUAAAGCUCUUUUACCAGGGAUGAUAAUGACAGUACCUGGAGAAUAAGCUCCGGCUAACUCCGUGCCAGCAGCCGCCGUAACAC
rnacentral:rRNA from 1 species